rnacentral:tRNA from 1 species
UAGGAGUUAGUUUAAGGUAAAAUGACUACAUGUCAGGUAGUUAAUGGACAAAAAUCCACUCCUAA